AGGAUAAACGCUGGCGGCGUGCCUAACGACAUGCAAGUCGAACGUCUCUUCUUUCGGGAAGAGGAGUGGCGGACGGGUGAGGAACACGUGGGAACCUGCCCUUUAGUGAGGAAUACCGGCGAGAAAUCGCCGACAAGACCGCAUAGCCCUCUUUGAUGAGAGUCAAAGAAGGAAAGCUUCGCAAGAGGCGCUAGAGGAGGGGCCUGCGUCCGAUUAGCUAGUUGGUGGGGUAAGAGCCUACCAAGGCGUCGAUCGGUAGCUGGUCUGAGAGGACGAUCAGCCACACUGGGAUUGAGAACGGCCCAGACUCCUACGGGGGGCAGCAGUGAGGAAUUUUCGGCAAUGGGGGAAACCCUGACCGAGCAACGCCGCGUGCAGGAAGACGGCCUUCGGGUUGUAAACUGCUUUUAUCUGGGACGAAAAAGGGCUUUCCAGCUCGUCUGACGGUACCAGAAGAAUAAGCACCGGCUAACUCCGCGCCAGCAGCCGCGGUAA
rnacentral:rRNA from 1 species